GCCCCAGCCUCGAGAGGACCCACCGCCGCCGCCGCCGAGAGGAGACGCCCCAGCCCCGAUAGGAUCCGCCGCCGCCGCCGCCGGGGAACGAGGUCGCCGCCGCCUCCCUCGCCCGCGGCCAUGAUGACCGAUCUGGCGUUGGCGCCGCAGAUCACCCUCUGGUCCAUGGCCUCGACUAGGUACGAAUCCCUCCUCCACUUCUUCUGGUUUGGUUAUAUCCACGGCAGCAUCAGCGUGCCGUCGUCAACCUGAUCCGUGUCCGUCCUCGAGGGAGGUCGGCCAUGGAGGUCCGACCCGGCCCGGCAGCAGCCAUGGACGGACGGAGAUGCCCCAAACCCUACCCUCAAGGACGAUGCCUCAACCUUCAAGGACGCGCGCCGGCGACCGCGGAUCUCCGGUGACGGCUAUGUUGAGAUGACUGCCCCGGAUCUGGACGCACAACGUGCAGCUGGAGAGUCCGCUGCCUCGCCCUCCCCGGGAUGGGGAAUUUCGACCUCCUUGGCGAGCAUGUACACACGUACUGGAGCUCUGUAGCAGCAAUAAGGUUAGGAUGACGCGAGGAUGCAGAAGAACAACAGCCACAUGCCUCUGCUACCUGACGACUCACAUGUAUCAGUAGAGUGCCUAGGUAGGCAGAUAUUUUUUUUGGAAUGCAAAACUUGGUGUGAGUUCAUACGAGUCAAACAAUGAUUGGAUAAGUUGCUGCAAAAUUUAAUCGGGACUUUGGUAAUACAAAUCCCCUUACACUACCUCUAUUCUUAGUCACUUUGCCCAUGAUGCAAAAUGUAAUUGACCCACCAUCUAUCUGAAAAUAUUUAUCUGUUGUUCUUAUUUUGGGAUGUUCGAAUAUGGCCUAAAGAUGUUUGAAGAAACGGUUAGCCGGUGGUAUCUUUGGCCAGAUGAUUCAACUGUCCUUUGUGAUCCGAAACUUCUGUAUCGCCCAUGCCUCCUUAUCUGUCUUCUCCGUGCGCAGCAGCUGGAAGAGAAUUUGAGGAAGAGACUAACUGAAAGUCUUUUUUCUCCAUUUGUACCACCUGGAAGAUAAUUUGAGGAAGAGACUAAAAGGAACUUAAAUGAGUAUUUUGAUUCUGGUCUAAGAAAAUUGGUUCUUGUAUGUGUCUCGGAUGAGAAAGAGUAUGUGAACUUUGGUGAAUACUUCCACACUGUCAAACUAUUUUUUUUUGAGUUGGACUGUCAAACCACCUAGAAAUGCCGACAGAGAUGAAAAAUAUUUAGCAGGUUGCUGACAGUAUUGAGGGUGACUUGCUUUUGGUACUACUAAGACAAGCUCUAGAAAUUGAUGUGCAUGCAUUUAUAUUCAGGUACCAGGAUGUAUUGAAAAGCUUAUACAAGAAGGAAUUAAGAUAUGUGUGCUGAUGGUGACAAAAAUGGACAGCUAUCAAUAUUGGGUGCAGCGAACCUAUUGGAUUUACAUCUUCUACUCUCUCGACAAGGUAGUGUUGGAGGGUGUGCCUAGGUGAAACACAUGAUCUCCACCACCCUUUCCUUCUAGAGCUGGUGCCAGGGAGGCAAGCCCAGGAUCACAUUCUUGGACCCGAUUGAAGGAACGACGAUUUUCAGGAUUGACGUGGAUUGAUUUUCUUGAACAUGAAGGUAUGGUUAGACAUUUGCUUGCUUAAUCUGUCAUGCGAGUUUGUGCAAUAGUUAGCUACAUGUGAAGCUGAAGGUAAGCCAAUGUGCUUCUCCAGAAGAAGGCCAAGGCACAUCAAUCCAACACCAACCCACCUGCUAUGGCACUAAGGGAGGAAGCAAAAAGAACAUUGCCCCUGAAGGCCGAGACACAUAAACAGGAAACUGAGUUCGGGAAAGGUGGUUGUCUCCUUGACGCACACCAUAGUGCCCAUCUUGUCUAUUCUAAUGUCUUCUUCCUUGGACAGACACCUUGUGCUUUGUGCAGACCACCUGCUAUGGCACUAAGAGAUGAAUGCUUUCUAAACAUUGGUAAUAACAAUGAGAUCAGAGAGUACUGCUCUAUUCAUUGCUCUUCUAAAUCUUGUGAGUGCACGAUAUGUAGGGAUCCAAAGAUAUUUAUUGAGAUCACUUCUCCCUUUUGACGUGUAAGCACUGUUUUAUAGGUUAUUGGCCACAAUAAUCUCAUAAUGGUGUCCUGCUAUGUAGAACAUGAUUGUAAGAUAAUAUCUUUUCUAAUGAUACUUUAUUUGGUGCAUAUGUUAUUGUUGA